GAUGAACGCUGGCGGCGUGCUUAACACAUGCAAGUCGAACGGAAAGGCCCAAGCUUGCUUGGGUACUCGAGUGGCGAACGGGUGAGUAACACGUGGGUGAUCUGCCCUGCACUUCGGGAUAAGCCUGGGAAACUGGGUCUAAUACCGGAUAGGACCACUUCUUGGAUGUUGUGGUGGAAAGUUUUUUCGGUGUGGGAUGAGCUCGCGGCCUAUCAGCUUGUUGGUGGGGUAAUGGCCUACCAAGGCGUCGACGGGUAGCCGGCCUGAGAGGGUGUACGGCCACAUUGGGACUGAGAUACGGCCCAGACUCCUACGGGAGGCAGCAGUGGGGAAGAUUGCACAAUGGGCGCAAGCCUGAUGCAGCGACGCCGCGGGGGGGAUGACGGCCUUCGGGUUGUAAACGCCUUUCGCUAGGGACGAAGCGUUUUGUGACGGUACCUGGAGAAGAAGCACCGGCUAACUACGUG
rnacentral:rRNA from 1 species